CAGAAAGAAAUUUACAGCAUGUAUACAUUCCCUAAUUUCUUAGCAUCCUUCCUGCAUUGCAUUAAAGCAGCUGUUGGAGUACAUUUCUUAUUUUCUCCUGCGAUCACUUUUAUGAAGUUUUCUAAAUGUCAACUUCUAAAGUCAUAUUUUGCCAAGGAGAAUUUACAUUUCAAAACCUAUGUUUAUGCACAUAUCUAACUCAAUGGGUGAGAAAAUGAAAUAAUCUUUACAACCCUCAUUAAAGAUGUGGUUUGAAAGUCAGGAUAUGUUUUUACAUUUGAUGUGGUUUUCGUUCUCUUUUGCUUAGAACAUCCUUUCCAAAAAUUGGGUAGGUUGUGAUUUUUUCCAAAAA
rnacentral:lncRNA from 1 species